rnacentral:rRNA from 1 species
AAGGUGGAGCCAAUCCCAGAAACCCGAUCCCAGUCCGGAUUGCAGUCUGCAACUCGACUGCAUGAAGUCGGAAUCGCUAGUAAUCGCAGAUCAGCAUUGCUGCGGUGAAUACGUUCCCGGGCCUUGUACACACCGCCCGUCACACCAUGGGAGUUGGUUGCUCCAGAAGCAGGUAGUCUAACCGCAAGGGGGACGCUUGCCACGGAGUGGUCAAUGACUGGGGUGAAGUCGUAACAAGGUAACCGUA